GGCAAGAUGGCCGAGCGGUCUAAGGCGCUAGACUCAAGAGGUUUCCUAUCUCUUAACUCCUCCCAAGGAGUGCAUUCUAGUCUCGAAAGAGGCGGGGGUUCGAAUCCCCCUCUUGUCA